rnacentral:tRNA from 1 species
GCGAGGGUGGCGAAACUGGCAGACGCGCUGGACUUAGGAUUCAGUGGACGCAAGUCCUUGCGGGUUCAAAUCCCGCCCUUCGCA